rnacentral:rRNA from 1 species
UACGUAGGGUGCGAGCGUUGUCCGGAAUUAUUGGGCGUAAAGGGCUCGUAGGCGGUUUGUCGCGUCGGGAGUGAAAACACUGGGCUUAACCGAGUGCUUGCUUUCGAUACGGGCAGACUUGAGGCAUUGAGGGGAGAACGGAAUUCCUGGUGUAGCGGUGAAAUGCGCAGAUAUCAGGAGGAACACCGGUGGCGAAGGCGGUUCUCUGGGCAUUACCUGACGCUGAGGAGCGAAAGUGUGGGGAGCGAACAGG